UGGAACGGAAUUAUUAGCGACAAUGGGCGAAAGCCUGAUCCAGCAAUACCGCGUGUGUGAAGAAGGCCUGAGGGUUGUAAAGCACUUUCAAUAGGGAGGAAUACCUACCGGUUAAUACCCGGUAGACUGACAUUGCCUAUACGAAAAGCACCCGCUAACUCCCUGCCCCCCCCCCCGGUAA
rnacentral:rRNA from 1 species